AAUUGGAGGGCAAGUCUGGUGCCAGCAGCCGCGGUAAUUCCAGCUCCAAUAGCGUAUAUUAAAGUUGUUGCAGUUAAAAAGCUCGUAGUUGAAUUUCGGGGUUAGUAGGUUGGUCGUGCCUCUGGUAUGUACUGAUCUCACUGAUUCCUCCUUCCUUAUGAACCGUAAUGCCAUUAAUUUGGUGUUGCGGGGAAUUUGGACUGUUACUUUGAAAAAAUUAGAGUGUUUAAAGCAGGCUAACGCUUGAAUACAUUAGCAUGGAAUAAUGAAAUAGGACGUUCGAUCUUAUUUUGUUGGUUUCUAGGAUUGACGUAAUGAUUAAUAGGGAUAGUUGGGGGCAUUAGUAUUCAAUUGUCAGAGGUGAAAUUCUUGGAUUUAUUGAAGACUAACUACUGCGAAAGCAUUUGCCAAGGAUGUUUUCAUUAAUCAAGAACGAAAGUUAGGGGAUCGAAGACGAUCAGAUACCGUCGUAGUCUUAACCAUAAACUAUGCCGACUAGGGAUCGGAUGAUGUUAAUUUUUUAAUGACUCAUUCGGCGCCUUACGGGAAACCAAAGUGU
rnacentral:rRNA from 1 species